GCUCCGCAGGGCGCAGCUUUAUACGACCACAGAGGUUGAACCCUGAACGGUUGGGGCAAGUAUGGACACAACAUUCAAGCUGGAUUCAGCUCUAAAUUUGGAUUGUGAUUAAAUAGUUGACACAGCAUAGGUUUCUGACAAAGAAUGAAUGUGGUCUAAUGAGACUUAAAAUAUUUUUUUUGCCUUUGAGCAAUUCACUAUGCUGUUGAAUAUUAAUCCUCUCAAAAAAAUGUUUGAAGAAAUUUUCUUUUUAUUUAUGAAAUCUGAAAUGAGAAAAAUUUUC
rnacentral:lncRNA from 1 species